GACAGAGGUGCCAAGCGUUAGGCGGAAUCACUGGGCUUAAAGCGUGUGUAGGUGGAAGCGUAAGUACCUUGUGAAAUCCCACGGCUUAACCGUGGAACUGCUUGGUAUACUGCGUUUCUUGAGCCAACUAGGGGCUAUCGGAACAAGUGGUGGAGCGGUGAAAUGCGUAGAUAUCAUGGGGAACACCGAAAGCGAAGGCAAUUUACUGGCGCACUCCUGACGCUGAAACACGAAAGCGUAGGUAGCGAAUGGG
rnacentral:rRNA from 1 species